rnacentral:rRNA from 1 species
CCUACGGGAGGCAGCAGUGGGGAAUCUUGCGCAAUGGGCGAAAGCCUGACGCAGCAACGCCGCGUGCGGGAAGAAGGCUCUCGGGUUGUAAACCGCUUUCAGCAGGAACGAAAAUGACGGUACUUGCAGAAGAAGGUGCGGCCAACUACGUGCCAGCAGCCGCGGUGACACGUAGGCACCAAGCGUUGUCCGGAUUUAUUGGGCGUAAAGAGCUCGUAGGCGGUUCGGUAAGUCAGGUGUGAAAACUUUGGGCUCAACCCAAAGCCUGCAUCUGAUACUGCUGUGACUAGAGUUCGGUAGGGGAGCGGGGAAUUCCUAGUGUAGCGGUGAAAUGCGCAGAUAUUAGGAGGAACACCGGUGGCGAAGGCGCCGCUCUGGGCCGAAACUGACGCUGAGGAGCGAAAGCGUGGGUAGCAAACAGGAUUAGAUACCCUGGUAGUCCACGCCGUAAACGUUGGGCACUAGGUGUGGGUUUCAACCAACGAAAUCCGCGCCGUCGCUAACGCAUUAAGUGCCCCGCCUGGGGAGUACGGCCGCAAGGUUAAAACCUCAAAUGAAUUGACGG